rnacentral:misc_RNA from 1 species
CUCCUGGUCCGGAAGGAUUGGGUAA